CGGUAACAGGAAGCAGCUUGCUGCUUUGCUGACGAGUGGCGGACGGGUGAGUAAUGUCUGGGAAACUGCCUGAUGGAGGGGGAUAACUACUGGAAACGGUAGCUAAUACCGCAUAACGUCGCAAGACCAAAGAGGGGGACCUUCGGGCCUCUUGCCAUCGGAUGUGCCCAGAUGGGAUUAGCUAGUAGGUGGGGUAACGGCUCACCUAGGCGACGAUCCCUAGCUGGUCUGAGAGGAUGACCAGCCACACUGGAACUGAGACACGGUCCAGACUCCUACGGGAGGCAGCAGUGGGGAAUAUUGCACAAUGGGCGCAAGCCUGAUGCAGCCAUGCCGCGUGUAUGAAGAAGGCCUUCGGGUUGUAAAGUACUUUCAGCGGGGAGGAAGGUGUUGAGGUUAAUAACCUCAGCAAUUGACGUUACCCGCAGAAGAAGCACCGGCUAACUCCGUGCCAGCAGCCGCGGUAAUACGGAGGGUGCAAGCGUUAAUCGGAAUUACUGGGCGUAAAGCGCACGCAGGCGGUCUGUCAAGUCGGAUGUGAAAUCCCCGGGCUCAACCUGGGAACUGCAUUCGAAACUGGCAGGCUAGAGUCUUGUAGAGGGGGGUAGAAUUCCAGGUGUAGCGGUGAAAUGCGUAGAGAUCUGGAGGAAUACCGGUGG
rnacentral:rRNA from 1 species